GCUUUACUGUUCACCAAUCUUUGCGAAGUUUCAAAGUUGCAGCAUGGCGCAUUACCUCGUUUUCGCUCUGCUGUUCAGAUCCAUCUCUUGUAAGAUUUUUUGCUGUCAAGACUUUCAUGGACCAGAAGACUCUCCAUGGCCUCCAACAGUCGAUCUAGUAGGAAAAUAUUCGCAUUGGAGCGGGGAGAGCGAUGGAGACGGGGCUUCUGGGAUUCGAUCCCAUGAUCUAAUCUGUUGUGAAGUUUCUCUAUUCAAACUGAGAAUAGAUGAUUUGGUAUCAGAUCAGAUCCUCGUCUUGUAAGAUUUUUGGCUGUGAAACCUGAAAGUUCUUAAGAUUCUCACGGACCAGUAAAUUCUAUCCACGGCAUUCAACAAUCGAGUAAGAUGUCAUUGGCAACA